rnacentral:rRNA from 1 species
AGAGUUUGAUCCUGGCUCAGAGCGAACGCUGGCGGCAGGCUUAACACAUGCAAGUCGAGCGGGCGUAGCAAUACGUCAGCGGCAGACGGGUGAGUAACGCGUGGGAACGUACCUUUUGGUUCGGAACAACACAGGGAAACUUGUGCUAAUACCGGAUAAGCCCUUACGGGGAAAGAUUUAUCGCCGAAAGAUCGGCCCGCGUCUGAUUAGCUAGUUGGUGAGGUAACGGCUCACCAAGGCGACGAUCAGUAGCUGGUCUGAGAGGAUGAUCAGCCACAUUGGGACUGAGACACGGCCCAAACUCCUACGGGAGGCAGCAGUGGGGAAUAUUGGACAAUGGGCGCAAGCCUGAUCCAGCCAUGCCGCGUGAGUGAUGAAGGCCCUAGGGUUGUAAAGCUCUUUUGUGCGGGAAGAUAAUGACGGUACCGCAAGAAUAAGCCCCGGCUAACUUCGUGCCAGCAGCCGCGGUAAUACGAAGGGAGCUAGCGUUGCUCGGAAUCACUGGGCGUAAAGGGUGCGUAGGCGGGUCUUUAAGUCAGGGGUGAAAUCCUGGAGCUCAACUCCAGAACUGCCUUUGAUACUGAGGAUCUUGAGUUCGGGAGAGGUGAGUGGAACUGCGAGUGUAGAGGUGAAAUUCGUAGAUAUUCGCAAGAACACCAGUGGCGAAAGCGGCUCACUGGCCCGAUACUGACGCUGACGCACGAAAGCGUGGGGAGCAAACAGGAUUAGAUACCCUGGUAGUCC